AAGUCGUAACAAGGUUUCCGUAGGUGAACCUGCGGAAGGAUCAUUGUCGAAACCUGCCUAGCAGAACGACCCGUGAACGUGUUACACAACUCGGGAUAUGUCUUCGACGUAUCCCUGCCGAGGGAAUGCUUGUAUGGGCAGUCCCAAGGCUCUAACGAAACCCCGGCGUGAAAAGCGCCAAGUAAUAUGAAUGUAUAGUGUGCUCCCUCGUGUUCGGUUCUCCGGCGCGUGUGUUGCACCUGUCUAUCACUAUAAUGACUCUCGGCAACGGAUAUCUCGGCUCUCGCAUCGAUGAAGAACGUAGCGAAAUGCGAUACUUGGUGUGAAUUGCAGAAUCCCGUGAACCAUCGAGUCUUUGAACGCAAGUUGCGCCCGAAGCUUCGGCUAAGGGCACGUCUGCCUGGGCGUCACGCAUCGCAUCUCCCCCAAAACCACCCAGAGUGGCAGGGGAAGGAAGUUGGUCUCCCGUUCCUCACCGGGAACGGCUGGCCUAAAUGAGGAGACCAUGGCAAUGAGCAGCCGCGGCAAUAGGUGGUUUGAAAAGGCUUAUGCUGUCUCAAAUUCAUGCCGUGUGCACGCACUUUGCUCUUGUGAUCUCGCAGGACCCUAACGAGUAUCAAUACUCGAAACCGUUGCGACCCCAGGUCAGGCGGGGUUACCCGCUGAGUUUAA
rnacentral:rRNA from 1 species